GAUGAACGCUGGCGGCGUGCUUAACACAUGCAAGUCGAACGAACUAAGGAGAGCUUGCUCUCCAAAGUUAGUGGCGGACGGGUGAGUAACGCGUGGGUAACCUGCCCUAUGCAGGGGGAUAACGUUUGGAAACGAACGCUAAUACCGCAUAAACUAUCGAGUUUCGCAUGAAACUUAUAGCAAAGAUUUAUCGGCAUAGGAUGGACCCGCGUUGGAUUAGCUAGUUGGUGAGAUAACAGCCCACCAAGGCAACGAUCCAUAGCCGGCCUGAGAGGGUGAACGGCCACAUUGGGACUGAGACACGGCCCAAACACCUACGGGUGGCUG
rnacentral:rRNA from 1 species